rnacentral:rRNA from 1 species
UACGUAGGGUGCAAGCGUUAAUCGGAAUUACUGGGUGUAAAGCGUGCGCAGGCGGUGAUGUAAGACAGGUGUGAAAUCCCCGGGCUUAACCUGGGAACUGCAUUUGUGACUGCAUCGCUGGAGUGCGGCAGAGGGGGAUGGAAUUCCGCGUGUAGCAGUGAAAUGCGUAGAUAUGCGGAGGAACACCGAUGGCGAAGGCAAUCCCCUGGGCCUGCACUGACGCUCAUGCACGAAAGCGUGGGGAGCAAACAGG